rnacentral:lncRNA from 1 species
GGAGGAAGCAGCAGCCCUCAGCUAGCCCAGAGGUGUCAGCGGCUCUUCUCACCAAAGCAGCUCCACAUCACCUGACGGCAGGCGCUGCCAAGGGCCGGGGCUUCCUGUGAGCUAGACUCCGAGCCGCCUUUCUCACUAAAGAGAAGAGUGGGCUUGCCUCUCCUCUGCUCAUGACCCACUCAAAGGCAGCCCGCCAGAGUUCCUGCUGCUGGCAACAUUUGGAUCAUCCUAAGCAUUUGCUAAGUGCCAUCAACACACUGACUUAAGUGGUAGAGGGAUGAGGGCCUGGUGUGGGCUGUGGGGAUGGAGGAGGAGGCGAGCAGGAGGAGAAAGCAGAUGGAGAGGUGUGAGAAGACGAAACCAGGCACCGGGACUAGACUCUGGUAUCUCCAGUCCUUACUGCACUGUCUGCUCCGUGGGUCUAACCGCUCAUCUAAUGACAUCUUCAGCUCUGCCCCCCCCCCCCCCCCGGCUCUACACUCCACUGGAACCAGCCCGCACAAUUAAGCCAUUAUUUUCUACCGUGGCCCAUGGGACAGAAUCCAGAAGGCUUUGUCUAGCCAGGGCUGGCUUUCCACAACUGCGCCUUCCAUCCAGGCCAGCUUUACUUUCCAUUGCUUCACAGGGAGGAAAAAUCGACUGUACCCAGCCUGGCUCAUCCUUCCCACCACUCCCUUCUGCGCAGCUGUACACAGCUUUUAGCAAAAGCCUACCCUCUGGUUCCUGCCUUGUACCCAUCUUGUGCAACAAUGAAGCUACCUGAAUUCUACAGAUGAGAACUCAAGCCUCAGAAGAUACAGGGUCCUCCUCAGCUGGAAGAAUCCUGGGCCAGAGAGCUCUAGUCUCAGCUCAGGACCUGUCUAUUCUACCGGUCAAGGUCAUCCCUGUCUCCCUCACUGAAGUGAAAGCCGUAUGCACACCGGAGCAUGGGUCAUCCUCACUUCCUAUAUUUGGCAAACAAUGAGCACAUUAGUGUCUUAAUCUAUGCAGGCUGCUAAGACAGUAAGCCAUAGAGCCAUAGACCCGUGGACUCUAAGCAACAGAAAUGUAUUGCCCAGAGGAGGCUGGGAAGUUCCAGAUCAGAAUGCCUAUUGAUGAUGUCUAGUGAAGGUCCAUCAUUUGACCUACAGAAAUCCAUCCUCUUUCUUGUUCUCAUGGCAGAAGACUAAGGGAGUUCUCUGGGAGUUUCUUAUGAGAGCAUUGACCCAUGAAGGUUUCACCCUAUUAUCUGAUCACCACUCAGAGGCCUGCCUCCUGAUGCUACCACAUUUGGAGUCAGACUCAACGCUCGAAUUCUGAGGCACACAAUCUACUACAGAUGGGUUAUAAUUACUCUACAAAAAAAAAAAAAAAAGCAGCACUAGG